AUACGUAGGGGGCGAGCGUUGUCCGGAUUUAUUGGGCGUAAAGAGCUCGUAGGCGGUUUCGUAAGUCGGCGGUGAAAGCUUGGGACUCAACUCCAAGAGGUCCGUCGAUACUGCGAUGACUUGAGUCCGGUAGAGGAGUGUGGAACUCCUGGUGUAGCGGUGAAAUGCGCAGAUAUCAGGAAGAACACCGGUGGCGAAGGCGGCACUCUGGGCCGGUACUGACGCUGAGGAGCGAAAGCUAGGGGAGCAAACAGGAUUAGAUACCCCGGUAGUCC
rnacentral:rRNA from 1 species